AAAUUUUAUUUCUAGUGAUUGGAAUGAUGGGAAUUUAAACCCCUUUCAGAGUAACAAUUGGAGGGCAAGUCUGGUGCCAGCAGCCGCGGUAAUUCCAGCUCCAAUAGCGUAUAUUAAAGUUGUUGCAGUUAAAAAGCUCGUAGUUGGAUGUCUGCUGGAAGCAAUCAGUCCGCCCUAUUUGUAGGGUGUGCACUUGAUGAAUUCUGGCAUCUAUGUCCCAAUAAUAUAACGGAAGCUAUUGGACGAAAGUUCAAUAGUAUAUUUCCGAUUAUUGGGAUACUGUUACUUUGA
rnacentral:rRNA from 1 species